rnacentral:rRNA from 1 species
CACACCAUGGGAGCUGACUCAACCAGAAGACGGUCAGGCUAACCUCAUCGCAAGAUGGGGGUGCCUCCGGCGAAGGUGGGGUUGGUGACUGGGGUG